GAUGUGAUGGGGAGCGAAAUUUAGUAGCGAAGUAGCUGAUUUCACACUGUCAAGAAAAGUCUCUAUCGAGGUUAAAGGUACCCGUACCGCAAACCGACACAGGUGGGUGAGGAGAGUAUCCUAAGGCCAGCGAGAGAACUGUUGUUAAGGAACUCGGCAAAAUGACCCCGUAACUUAGGGAUAAGGGGUGCCACCAUCAGGUGGCCGCAGAGAAUAGGCCCAAGCGACUGUUUACCAAAAACAUAGGUUUCUGCUAAGUCGCAAGACGAUGUAUAGGAGCUGACGCCUGCCCGGUGCUGGAAGGUUAAGGGGAUCUGUUAGAGUAAUCGAAGCAGUGAACUUAAGCCCCAGUAAACGGCGGCCGUAACUAUAACGGUCCUAAGGUAGCGAAAUUCCUUGUCGGGUAAGUUCCGACCCGCACGAAAGGCGUAACGAUUUGGGCACUGUCUCAACAACAGACUCGGUGAAAUUGUAAUUCCGGUGAAGAUGCCGGAUACCUGCGACAGGACGGAAAGACCCCAUGGAGCUUUACUGUAGCUUGACAUUGGGUCUUGGUACUACAUGUACAGGAUAGGUGGGAGGCUUUGAAACCAGGACGCCAGUUUUGGCGGAGCCAUCCUUGGGAUACCACCCUUGUAGUACUGGGACUCUAACCAUAGGCCAUGAAUCUGGUCUUGGGACACUGUCAGGUGGGCAGUUUGACUGGGGCGGUCGCCUCCCAAAAGGUAACGGAGGCGCUCAAAGGUUCUCUCAGUACGGUCGGAAAUCGUACGUAGAGUGUAAAGGCAAAAGAGAGCUUGAUUGCAAGACAUACAGGUCGAGCAAGGAUGAAAAUCGGACUUAGUGAUCCGGUGGUUCUGCGUGGAAGGGCCAUCGCUCAACGGAUAAAAGCUACCCUGGGGAUAACAGGCUUAUCUCCCCCAAGAGUCCACAUCGACGGGGAGGUUUGGCACCUCGAUGUCGGCUCAUCACAUCCUGGGGCUGUAGUAGGUCCCAAGGGUUGGGCUGUUCGCCCAUUAAAGUGGUACGCGAGCUGGGUUCAGAACGUCGUGAGACAGUUCGGUCCCUAUCCGUCGCAGGCGUAGGAAAUUUGAGAAGACCUGUCCUUAGUACGAGAGGACCGGGAUGGACG
rnacentral:rRNA from 1 species